rnacentral:rRNA from 1 species
UACGGGGGGGGCUAGCGUUGUUCGGAAUUACUGGGCGUAAAGGGCUCGUAGGCGGCCUUGUUAGUCGGACGUGAAAUCCCUCGGCUCAACCGGGGAACUGCGUCCGAUACUGCGAGGCUCGAAUCCGGGAGAGGGAUGCGGAAUUCCAGGUGUAGCGGUGAAAUGCGUAGAUAUCUGGAGGAACACCGGUGGCGAAGGCGGCAUCCUGGACCGGUAUUGACGCUGAGGAGCGAAAGCCAGGGGAGCAAACGGG